CCAGGCUGGUCUUGAUUUCCUGGGCUCAAGUGAUGCACCCACCUCAGCCUCCCAAAGUGCUGGGAUUACAGUCAUGAACCACUGCACCUGCCCCAUAGAUACAUUUUAAGGACCUUUUUUGUGUAAGGAUCUGUGGUGGGUGCUAUGGUGGAUACAAAAAUGAACAAAAUGGUCUCUGCCCUCAAGGGGCUGACAAGAUGCAUGGAUGCAAACGGCUGUAGCCAGAAGCAGGACGCAGUCGAGACCCGAUGAUGAUCAAGGAUGAUGAUUGUUGAUUGAGAGAGACCACACGCCGGAGGAACCCAGAGGGCUAGACAUAGCAUGGGCCUGCAGUUGGUAUGCCGGGUGUUUGAAGAACUUCAGCGCACUGGAAAUCAGGAGCUGAGGAGUGAAGAUGAAUUAAGAAGUGGUUGCUCUGGUCUCCGUCAAGAGGAAGGUGUGGAUUAGGAGGGUGGUGAUGGGUUCAGAGGAAAGAGGAGAGAUGCUGGAGGCAGGUGGAUAGGACCCAAUUGAAAUGGGGUGAUGUGGGGGAAGAAAUUAAAGAAGACCCAGAGAUUUUGAUCCUCCUAAGAUAAGGGUGAUGUUAAGAAAGGUAUUGAUUAUGAAAGAGGACUGGAUUUUGUGUUAGCAGUUGGGGAGGGACCGGGGAAGUUUGGAGUCUCAGAUGAAAAUAUAUACACUAUUCAUGUAAUAAACAUUUACAGAGUU